GGUUUGGGCGCUGUGGUUAGCUGUACUAAUUCUGGGCUUGAUCUGGGGCAAACGUUAGUGAGUAGACGACUCUUCGGAGUGAGUGCUCACUUUUCAUAUCCUGGGUCGGGCUGAGGUCAGUCACUCUGUGCUCGUGAUGAAUUAGAAAAUGGUUUUCUUUACCCCGUCUUGAAACACGGACCAAGGAGUCUAACAUAUGUGCAAGUACGUCAGUGGCAAACUGAUAUGCGUAAUGAAAGUAACAGUGA
rnacentral:rRNA from 1 species